GAUGAACGCUCGCUACAGGCUUAACACAUGCAAGUCGAGGGGAAACGACAUCGAAAGCUUGCUUUUGAUGGGCGUCGACCGGCGCACGGGUGAGUAACGCGUAUCCAACCUGCCCAUCACUUGGGAAUAACCUUGCGAAAGUAAGACUAAUACCCAAUGACAUCCCACGAAGACAUCUGAAUGGGAUUAAAGAUUUAUCGGUGAUGGAUGGGGAUGCGUCUGAUUAGCUUGUUGGCGGGGUAACGGCCCACCAAGGCAACGAUCAGUAGGGGUUCUGAGAGGAAGGUCCCCCACAUUGGAACUGAGACACGGUCCAAACUCCUACGGGAGGCAGCAGUGAGGAAUAUUGGUCAAUGGGCGAGAGCCUGAACCAGCCAAGUAGCGUGCAGGAUGACGGCCCUAUGGGUUGCAAACUGCUUUUAUAAGGGAAUAAAGUGGGUCUCGUGAGACUUUUUGCAUGUACCUGAUGAAUAAGGACCGGCUAAUUCCGUG
rnacentral:rRNA from 1 species